AGAGUUUGAUCCUGGCUCAGGACGAACGCUGGCGGCGCGCCUAACACAUGCAAGUCGAACGAGCGAGAGAGAGCUUGCUUUCUCAAGCGAGUGGCGAACGGGUGAGUAACGCGUGAGGAACCUGCCUCAAAGAGGGGGACAACAGUUGGAAACGACUGCUAAUACCGCAUAAGCCCACAGGUCGGCAUCGACCAGAGGGAAAAGGAGCAAUCCGCUUUGAGAUGGCCUCGCGUCCGAUUAGCUAGUUGGUGAGGUAACGGCCCACCAAGGCGACGAUCGGUAGCCGGACUGAGAGGUUGAACGGCCACAUUGGGACUGAGACACGGCCCAGACUCCUACGGGAGGCAGCAGUGGGGAAUAUUGCACAAUGGGGGAAACCCUGAUGCAGCGACGCCGCGUGGAGGAAGAAGGUCUUCGGAUUGUAAACUCCUGUUGUUGAGGAAGAUAAUGACGGUACUCAACAAGGAAGUGACGGCUAACUACGUGCCAGCAGCCGCGGUAAAACGUAGGUCACAAGCGUUGUCCGGAAUUACUGGGUGUAAAGGGAGCGCAGGCGGGAAGACAAGUUGGAAGUGAAAUCUAUGGGCUCAACCCAUAAACUGCUUUCAAAACUGUUUUUCUUGAGUAGUGCAGAGGUAGGCGGAAUUCCCGGUGUAGCGGUGGAAUGCGUAGAUAUCGGGAGGAACACCAGUGGCGAAGGCGGCCUACUGGGCACCAACUGACGCUGAGGCUCGAAAGUGUGGGUAGCAAACAGGAUUAGAUACCCUGGUAGUCCACACCGUAAACGAUGAUUACUAGGUGUUGGAGGAUUGACCCCUUCAGUGCCGCAGUUAACACAAUAAGUAAUCCACCUGGGGAGUACGACCGCAAGGUUGAAACUCAAAGGAAUUGACGGGGGCCCGCACAAGCAGUGGAGUAUGUGGUUUAAUUCGACGCAACGCGAAGAACCUUACCAAGUCUUGACAUCCUGCGACGCACAUAGAAAUAUGUGUUUCCUUCGGGACGCAGAGACAGGUGGUGCAUGGUUGUCGUCAGCUCGUGUCGUGAGAUGUUGGGUUAAGU
rnacentral:rRNA from 1 species